CUUAGGUUCUCUGGCAAUAAUAAUUUGUGAACCUGGUCAGGCCCGGAAGGGAGCAGCCACAGCAAAUGACUUAUGUGCACAGAUGUGGCUUAGGGUU
rnacentral:SRP_RNA from 1 species